UACGAAGGGGGCUAGCGUUGCUCGGAAUUACUGGGCGUAAAGCGCACGUAGGCGGCUUUCUAAGUCGGGGGUGGAAUCCUGGAGCUCAACUCCAGAACUGCCUUCGAUACUGGAGAGCUUGAGUCCGGGAGAGGUGAGUGGAACUGCGAGUGUAGAGGUGAAAUUCGUAGAUAUUCGCAAGAACACCAGUGGCGAAGGCGGCUCACUGGCCCGGUACUGACGCUGAGGUGCGAAAGCGUGGGGAGCAAACAGG
rnacentral:rRNA from 1 species